UGCGUAGGUGGUCUGUUAAGUCAGCGGUGAAAGCCCGGAGCUCAACUCCGGAAUUGCCAUUGAUACUGACGGACUUGAAUCAGGUUGAGGUGGAUGGAAUAUUACAUGUAGCGGUGAAAUGCUUAGAUAUGUAAUAGAACACCGAUUGCGAAGGCAGUUCACUAAGCCUGCAUUGACACUGAGGCACGAAAGCGUGGGGAUCAAACAGGAUUAGAUACCCUGGUAGUCCACGCCCUAAACGAUGCAAAACUCGACAUUAGCGAUAUACAGUUAGUGUCCAAGCGAAAGCGUUAAGUUUGCCACCUGGGAAGUACGACCGCAAGGUUGAA
rnacentral:rRNA from 1 species